rnacentral:rRNA from 1 species
AACGAACGCUGGCGGCAUGCCUAACACAUGCAAGUCGAACGAUGGCUUCGGCCAUAGUGGCGCACGGGUGAGUAACACGUGGGAACCUGCCUUAUGGUUCGGAAUAACGUCUGGAAACGGACGCUAACACCGGAUGUGCCCUUCGGGGGAAAGUUUACGCCAUGAGAGGGGCCCGGCGUCGGAUUAGGUGGUUGGUGAGGUAAAGGCUCACCAAGCCUGCGAUCCGUAGCUGGUCUGAGAGGAUGAUCAGCCACACUGGGACUGAGACACGGCCCAGACUCCUACGGGAAGCAGAAGUGGGGAAUAUUGGACAAUGGGCGCAAGCCUGAUCCAGCAAUGCCGCGUGAGUGAUGAAGGCCUUAGGGUUGUAAAGCUCUUUCGCACGCGACGAUGAUGACGGUAGCGUGAGAAGAAGCCCCGGCUAACUUCGUGCCAGCAGCCGCCGUAAAAC